GUAGUAUAAAAGACUAUAACUUUAUUUGUAUAUCCCCUUUCCAAGGCAGUUUACAAAGUACUUAACAGAACACAAUAAAAAAAAAAAAAAGGAUUCUGCCUUACCUGAAGCAGUAAAAUGUAAAUGAGCUGACUGUUAAAGGUAGCCUUUAUGACGGCUUCUAGUAAUCAACCCAACGACGAUCAACAAGAUUCCUCUGACCGGUAUAAGAUGGCAGUUGUAAUGAAAUAAAACCACUCGUUUCUGUUUCCACCUUUGUACUCUUGUCUCACCCAGGUGUUGCAUUGCGUAGGUGUUUCCAAAGAUUGUCUGAUAUGAUGCAAAUCAAUUGUGACAUGCCACUGUCCUCUGUUGGACUUUUGUGGUACUGAAAUCCUAAUGCAAACCUUGAGGAAAUGCUUCUAUGAUACUCAAUAAAUCGCUAACUGUACUAUUUGUUUGAUAUAAGUCUCAUAUCUUCAGGGCCGUAUUAAAUGCAUUGAUGGCCCUAGGCAGACUGAUUUUUUAUAAUUAUAAAUAUAAAUAUAUUAUGUUAUCUAUUUAUCUGUAGAUAUUUAUAUACAAUUUAUAAUUUCGGAAUAAAUGUAAAUGUAAAUGGACUGCAUUUAUAUAGCGCUUUUCUAACCAUUGGCCACUCAAAGCGCUUUACAAUAUUGCCUCACAUUCACCAUUCACGCACACAUUCACGCACCGACGGCGGAGUCAACCAUGCAAGGCGACAGCCAGCUCGUCGGGAGCUAACAGUCAGGGUUAGGUGCCUUGCUCAAGGACACCUCGACACUCAGCUAGGAGGAGCCGGGGAUCGAACCAACAACCUUCAGGUUACCAGCCAACCCGCUCUACCUCCUGAGCUACUGAAUAGGGAGCCCUGAUGCAAAACAGAGACGGACAGCAAUGUCCAUAAAACAAAUAUUUAAUGAGGGGGUAGUAUGAGAAUAGGGAAAGCAAAGAGUAGUGGCAGGCAGUGACUGGCAGUGGACCCAGUAGGAUGGCUAGACAGGCCAGGCAGGCAGGCAGGACCAGGCAGGCUGGGGAAUAGGUGAGCUGAUAAACAGGCAGAACAGGUGGACAGGUAGACAGCGAGAUGGCUGGGUCUACCCAAUACAUAUUUGUGAAAUAUGAUGUGAAACAUGUAGCCUAUAUAUGAUACAUAUUUGUGAAAAAAAAGUGUGCCUUGUUAAAUGAGUGACACUACUGUGGAUGGCGGAUACAUGAGCAGGGAGGAGUUACGAGGCAACCCAUAUGUACUGUACCGCAGGCACGGCGUCAGGAUUCCAGUUGUGGGUGGGCCAGACCAAUUGUGGGUGGUCCUUAAAUUAAAAACGUUAUCAAAUCCCUGUUUACCUAAUAAAAAUGACUCACUAAUAUACUGUUAUAUUAUCUGUGCAUAGUAGAGAUUUUAAUAGCUUGAUGCUCUUUAAUAUUUUGUUGCAUUGUAAGCAGUUUCGUUGCAUAGGACGGACCCAUCCGCGAUCGCUCUCCUUGGAUCUAAACAAAGAAGAGCGCUUUUGGAAUCUCAAUUACGCAUCACGCGCGUCACUUUAUAGACCUAAGGCCUAUGGAUAGACUGUAAAAGUGGUAAUAGAUAGGCAUGGGAAGAAGAGAGAGCAUGAGAAGAAAAUGUAUUAAUUCAUUUACAGGAGUAAUCGGCGGGGUUUGCUCUUGAAAAUGCCAAUGAUUUCA
ensembl:lncRNA